UACAGAGGGUGCAAGCGUUGCUCGGAAUUAUUGGGCGUAAAGGGCGCGUAGGCGGCCUGGCAAGUGGAAGGUGAAAUCCCUCGGCUUAACCGAGGAACUGCCCUCCAAACUGCUUGGCUUGAGUCCGGGAGAGGUGAGUGGAAUUCCCAGUGUAGCGGUGAAAUGCGUAGAUAUUGGGAGGAACACCAGUGGCGAAGGCGGCUCACUGGACCGGAACUGACGCUGAGGCGCGAAAGCGUGGGGAGCAAACGGG
rnacentral:rRNA from 1 species